UUAGGGUGGCACAAAAGUAAUUGUGGUUUUUGCCAUUGAAAGUAAUGGCAAAAAUCGCAAUUUCUUUUGCACCAACCUAAUA
rnacentral:miRNA from 1 species